AGAAUCAACGCUGGCGGCGUGCCUAACACAUGCAAGUCGCACGAGAAAGGGACUUCGGUCCUGAGUACAGUGGCGCACGGGUGAGUAACACGUGAAUCAUCUACCUUCGAGUGGGGAAUAAACUGAGAGAAAUCUUAGCUAAUACCGCAUAAUACCUACGGGUCAAAGCAGCAAUGCGCUUGAAGAGGAGUUCGCGGCAGAUUAGUUAGUUGGCGGGGUAAUGGCCCACCAAGACGAUGAUCUGUAUCC
rnacentral:rRNA from 1 species